UAGGAAUUCAACUGUCACCCAGUCGUCGGUCGGGUAUACCGCCAUGCCGGCUUGCCGACUGAAUUUACCUUUUGAUUAGUGUCGGACGAUCUAUGCAACAGGGUACAGCGCUAGCUAGUGUGAGCGUUUGAACGGAAGCUUCUUCAGCAGCAUUAGUCAUCCGACGUUGCCCAUAUGGUGUCAGUCCAUGUUUGGAAAGGAAUGGUUCAGCGUUUGACCUCACAACAAAUUGCUCUCCAUAGAACGACCAAGUUAGGACAUUAAGUGGUUCCAUAGGAAUGAACCAAUAGACCAGGACAGGAGUGGUUCACCAGGUUCUGAACCAAUGGAACCAAGUGAACUUGAGGGACCACGAUGGAACCACCACGGAACCACAAGUGAACAAAGUGCGCACCCUCAUGCCGAGCCCUAUCACACUACCUCUGUACCCAGUUAACCAAUCGAACCAAUGCAACCACAUGGAACCACAAUGGAACCACUACCCGUAGUGAACCAAGCGUGCUCUCGCAUGCCUACACGCUGUCACACUACCUCUG